GACGAACGCUGGCGGCGUGCUUAACACAUGCAAGUCGAACGGAAAGGCCCUGCUUUUGUGGGGUGCUCGAGUGGCGAACGGGUGAGUAACACGUGAGUAACCUGCCCUUGACUGUGGGAUAACUUCAGGAAACUGGGGCUAAUACCGGAUAGGAGCUCCUGCUGCAUGGUGGGGGUUGGAAAGUUUCGGCGGUGGGGGAUGGUCUCGCGGGUUAUCAGCUUGUUGGUGGGGUAGUGGCGUACCAAGGCUUUGACGGGUAGCCGGCCUGGGAGGGUGGCCGGGCACCUUGGGCCUACGGUACGGCGCAGAAUGGUACGGGCCGCAGCAGUGGGGAACAUUGCGCAAUAGCCGGGCGCCAGAUGCAGAAACGCCGGGUGCGGGAUACCGGCUUACGGGUUGUAAACAACUUUCGAAUGUACCAAACCGUGAGUGACGGUACUGAGUAAGAAAGCCCCGGCUAACUACGUG
rnacentral:rRNA from 1 species